UACGUAGGGGGAGAGCGUUGUCCGGAUUUAUUGGGCGUAAAGGGCUCGUAGGCGGUUUGUCGCGUCGGGAGUGAAAACUCAGGGCUCAACCCUGAGCGUGCUUCCGAUACGGGCGGACUAGAGGUAUGCAGGGAAGAACGGAAUUCCUGGUGUAGCGGUGGAAUGCGCAGAUAUCAGGAGGAACACCGGUGGCGAAGGCGGUUCUCUGGGCAUGACCUGACGCUGAGGAGCGAAAGCAUGGGGAGCGAACAGG
rnacentral:misc_RNA from 1 species